GAUUCGCUUUCUCCUUACCUGUUGAUUAAAUUGCAAUAGUCUUUGCAGUCUGAAAGAUGGUGGAGCUUUGGCGUGAGCCAUGAAGCGUCUUUGUGUUGUUUGUUUGUUGAUCUCGGGCAAUGAUUUCUUUUUUAUGGGGAUGUAAGAUUGCGAAUUGCUCCUGUACACGUGAAAUCUUGGGAGACUGUGUUUGAUAGUAAAAAACGCCUGAGUCUGGGGUGGAAAAAAGGAGGCUGGUUUUUGCAGUGAUCUCAGUUCUUUAUCAGAAAUGUUAUCGCUUGUCAGGACCUCAGACUCCAAGCAUUACGUCAGUUUCAAGACACCAACACUAUUAAUAUCAAGAAGCCCUUGCGGAGGAAAGCGCCACCCUAGAGCGCGCACUCUUAAAGGGACAGUGACCGCUAAAAGAGCUCCAGCUCCAGCCGCUCUGCAGCUUCGCCAUAGAAACUCACAGCUUUGCUUCUCAGCUGGUGGCUUCGCACUUCUGUUCUGAAAAAAAGAGAAAAAAAACACGUUUCCGCCGGUGAAUGAAAAGGAGGAGGACAGGAGAAUCCAGAAGAGAAGACGAGGAGGACCAUGCAUCUUUGAUUCCAGCCCAAAACCGAGUGAGUGAGGAACAUGCUGUACUGGACCAAAAAAAACUGUCAUAAAUGAGGUCAGCGCAACUCAUGCAUCAUAUUCCAAGCAUGCAUUGAAUACGUGAGUCAGUAAGGAGAUCCAAAUCAGUCCGAUUCACGAACAAA